UACGUAGGGUGCGAGCGUUGUCCGGAAUUAUUGGGCGUAAAGGGCUCGUAGGCGGUUUGUCGCGUCGGGAGUGAAAACCCAGGGCUUAACCCUGGGCUGGCUUCCGAUACGGGCAGACUAGAGGUAUGCAGGGGAGAACGGAAUUCCUGGUGUAGCGGUGAAAUGCGCAGAUAUCAGGAGGAACACCGGUGGCGAAGGCGGCAUCCUGGACCGGUAUUGACGCUGAGGCGCGAAAGCUAGGGGAGCAAACGGG
rnacentral:rRNA from 1 species